rnacentral:misc_RNA from 1 species
UACGAACUGCGCGAACGUUAUUCGGAAUCACUGGGCUUACAGGGUGCGUAGGCGGCUUUUCAGGUCCGAUGUGAAAUCCCACAGCUCAACUGUGGAAUGGCAUUGGAAACCGGGAAGCUCGAGUGAGCUAGAGGUACACGGAACUUUCGGUGGAGCGGUGAAAUGUGUUGAGAUCGGAAGGAACACCAGAGGCGAAAGCGGUGUACUGGGGCUUGUCUGACGCUGAGGCACGAAAGCCAGGGGAGCGAACGGG